UUGAAUAGACUGUAAAAAUUAAAUUAAAAUUUUAAAAAAUUAAUAAAAUACGAAAUGUACAAUAACUUAAGUGUUACCUAAUAUGAUGUGAUGUAUGGUAUUACCUCUUGUGGCUGUUGCAACUAACGAGUAACGAAUACUAACGAGUAACGAUACAUACUCCUUGGGUUGCCGGCUGGUAGCGGUACCGGUAGAAGAAAACUGCUUAUGUUAUUUAUUGAUUUAUUUAUAUAUUAUUUUGCUAUCAUUGCCUUUCAAUGGAUAUUUCGGUGGUUACCUACGUUUCGAUGAAGGAUCUUCAAAAUUCAAGCAAUCGGAAGGCAAAGUUUACCACGGGUUAAGGUGUCAAAAUACCUUUUGGGAAUUAAGAGGACUUUGUUCUGCAUCUUGCAUGUUUCUUAAAAAAAAGAGAAAGCAUCCUUUUUUUCCUGAACUUCGUAUGUGUUGCAAGGCUCGUCAAUACAAGAAGACUGUUUUGGCACUUGGCAGUACAGGGACUGGCUACUAAAAGCAAUGCUGAAAGCUCCUUUGAAAUAUAAUUAUCAAAUUUGACCCAACGAAUAGUCCAAAGAGGGUCCAAGCUAAAAUUUACCGUACCUGAAGAUGAGGAAACCACCACUUUAGCAGUUGGAUGUAAAAGAUUAUGAUUUUUCUAAGUGGCUAAAAGCAUCUUACUAGAACAGUACUCAGCAAUGACAAAACAAAAGAUCCAAAGUAAUUGGCACUACAUAUUACCAUUUCUAACUUUAUCUUUCAAAGUGGUAGAAAUAAAGCCUUUGAGUCAAAUGUUGCACCGGAGUAGUACGUAUUUUCAAAUGUUCAGAAUCAUUAAGUAUGCACAGUUAAAAGCUAUUUUCAGUGAAUUGUGGGAUGGGAACACAGUAGAGGUCUUUUUUGCUGUUUUCAGCCUGGUACCCUUCUGACUACAACACUUGUGAUUAUUUAUGCUGGUAGUAAUUCCAACAAGAUUUACUUAAGCUUUAUAUUGUACUUUCAUUUGUUCAUAACCAAGAAUUAUGUAAAUAUGUACGGUUGUACUAAAAACAACAAAGAUCUCAUUUCAUUGUUGAAUACAAGACAUGGCAGCUCUAGUUUUACUUAUAAUGUCAUCAGUAUAUGUAUAACAUCCAGAAUUGAAGGUACAAAGUCAUCAGUAUAUGUAUAACAUCCAGAAUUGAAGGUACAAAGUUUAUUGAUAGGAGCUGUAUGGUAAAGAAAGUCAUUGGGAGCUCUGAUGUCAGUCUGAAUGGGUCUGAUUCAGUUGUCAUGACUCAGAAAGAUAACACAAUGAAUGCAGUAGAAUUGAUCAAAUGGAGUGCAUUUGGGAGCAAAUGUAACAGAUGAUGGUAGGAAUAGAGGAAGUGAAUUUUGAAACAAGUUGAGCAACAAGAUAUGCUAUAAGUUUUGAUAAUAGUAUGAGCGGAAGCAAAAGUUGUAUAAUAUAGAGGGAAUCUGGAGCAAACACUUUGUGGAAGCUGAUCGUUAAUGUUGUUACAGUGGAGAUGAUUAGUUAGCACAGCAUAUGUAGAGUCAGAAGGGUCGACAGGGUUAUAAGCAUAGGGAUAUGUUGACAAUGUGGUAAAAGAUUGAUUAGAAUGUUGUGAGGUGAUUCAGACUACAGGACAGAAGGUAGGUGAAAAAGUUAUAUACGUAGUUCAAAAGUACGUACUGAAAGGAUGAAGGAAAGGGCAAUUGAAAAAGUGUGUGUUAAAUAGCAUAGGUAGUUGUUGUACUGGGAUAGAAGAGCAUUAAUAUUCAGGUAGUGUGAAAAUUGUGUAAGAUAGUUCAAUAAUCAUUACUAGGUGUUGGGAGUUGAAAUAUGGAUGUGAGCCCUCUUCAUCCUUUUGUGAAGUGGUUGGAUUCAUGAAAUUUUGUGCAUCGAUUCAUUUUUUUAUUCUAAUCUUUGACUGGCUGAAUUUUAGUUUCAUAUCUUAGGCCCCAUCCACAUGGCCGAGCUUUGCUCGACGAACUAUUCGAUGUGACGUCAGAAGCGGAGAAACUGGGGAUGAGGUUCUGACUUUUCUCGCUGUUUCUCCGCUUCUGACGUCACAUAGGACAAAGUUCGUCGACCAAAGCUCGACCGUGUGGACGGGGCCUUACAGACUACAUCACAUACAGCCCAGAAGGUAUGAUUGAACACAUUUUGCUUGUAUGUGCGAACUUCAACCAACAGUGUUUACUAGAUUUUGGAAAAAAAUUAAGUACUAAUGUAUUAAUUAAAUGAAAUAAAAGCCUGUUAUUAAGCUCAUUGGUCUGGUUAAACUACUUUCUGACACUGGUCCAUUCCAGAUUUCUGCUAGGGCUAGCUACCACUUCAUUUCAUGUUGAAAGAACGUGUAACUGUAGCAUGAGUGGUAUCAUCGGCAUAUUUUACAGUUGUACUAUUUAAUAAACCAACAAACCUUUUUAGUAAAAACUAAAAACAACAGUGAUCCCAAAACACUGCCAGCCUACAUAUACUUUGUUCUCUAUUUACUAUUUCCAAAACUUGACAUACACUAUCGGUUGAAGUUGGCACAUUCUUUCUCUAAUGUUUGUAGUUUGACUUCUUAUUUGGUUUGUUUAUAUCGGUCCCACCGUGCCUUUGAGAAAAUUUCUACUACGAAUUUAAGACCUUGUACAUUAAGUGAUUAGGAAAUGGGUUAUAUCUAUGAUUUUAGGGAAAUAAUCCUGAAUUAGGCUAAAUUCUCUUGAACUGAAGGAUAUCUGUUGUCUCAACCAUCUUCAGUGCUUGUUGUUAGAAGCCAUUGUCUUGUACAAAAAUGUGAAAAGUCUAGUUACAGUUUAAGCUGGUAAUAGGGUUAGACAACAUACCCUUGGUUUUCUUUUUUUGUGAUUCCAUAUGUAUAAUCUUUUUGUAUUAUGACAGUAAUUGCAGUAGUAACCUGUUCAUCUGAUUUUGUGUACAAAUGUAAUAGUAAACAAAAAUAGAAC